rnacentral:rRNA from 1 species
CCUACGGGUGGCAGCAGUCGAGAAUCAUUCACAAUGGGGGAAACCCUGAUGGUGCGACGCCGCGUGGGGGAAUGAAGGUCUUCGGAUUGUAAACCCCUGUCAUGUGGGAGCAAAUUAAAAAGAUAGUACCACAAGAGGAAGAGACGGCUAACUCUGUGCCAGCAGCCGCGGUAAUACAGAGGUCUCAAGCGUUGUUCGGAAUCACUGGGCGUAAGGCGUGCGUAGGCUGUUUCGUAAGUCGUGUGUGAAAGGCGCGGGCUCAACCCGCGGACGGCACUUGAUACUGCGAGACUAGAGUAAUGGAGGGGGAACCGGAAUUCUCGGUGUAGCAGUGAAAUGCGUAGAUAUCGAGAGGAACACUCGUGGCGAAGGCGGGUUCCUGGACAUUAACUGACGCUGAGGCACGAAGGCCAGGGGAGCGAAAGGGAUUAGAUACCCCAGUAGUC